rnacentral:rRNA from 1 species
AGGGAUAUUGGUCAAUGGGGGAAACCCUGAACCAGCAACGCCGCGUGAGGGAAGACGGUUUUCGGAUUGUAAACCUCUGUCCUCUGUGAAGAUAAUGACGGUAGCAGAGGAGGAAGCUCCGGCUAACUACGUGCCAGCAGCCGCAGUAAUACGUAGGUGGCAAGCGUUGUCCGGAAUUACUGGGUGUAAAGGGAGCGUAGGCGGGAAGACAAGUUGAAUGUUUAAACUAUCGGCUCAACCGAUAAUCGCGUUCAAAACUGUUUUUCUUGAGUGAAGUAGAGGCAGGCGGAAUUCCUAGUGUAGCGGUGAAAUGCGUAGAUAUUAGGAGGAACACCAGUGGCGAAGGCGGCCUGCUGGGCUUUAACUGACGCUGAGGCUCGAAAGCGUGGGUAGCAAACAGG